ACAGAGGAGAUGCAAGCCGAGAUCUGCAGACACCUGGCGCAAGACUGCCCCGUGCUGUUGGAGAGGCUCCUGAGCACAUCUUGGAGCUGCUGCAUGGGGAGCUCCCAGGCGCCGCAGCCAGCAGCCGUCCACGUCUUGGGCCUGCUCCGGGACACAGCACCAGCCGCGUGUCUACAGCAGCGGGACCUGGCCUUGCUGUUGGGAGCUCAGUGAAGGGGAG